rnacentral:tRNA from 1 species
UUCAAUCCCUUCCCCUACUA